rnacentral:rRNA from 1 species
GACGAACGCUGGCGGCGUGCCUAACACAUGCAAGUCGAGCGAAGUGAGUACUACGGUACGAACUUAGCGGCGGACGGGUGAGUAACGCGUGGACAAUCUACCCUGUAGACUGGGAUAACACCUCGAAAGGGGUGCUAAUACCGGAUAAUGUCGAGAAGCGGCAUCGCUUUUCGAAGAAAGGAGAGAAUCCGCUAUUGGAGGAGUCCGCGUCCCAUUAGCUAGUCGGUGAGGGUAACGUCCCACCAAGGCGACGAUGGGUAGCCGGCCUGAGAGGGUGAACGGCCACACUGGAACUGAGACACGGUCCAGACUCCUACGGGAGGCAGCAGUGGGGAAUAUUGUGCAAUGGGGGAAACCCUGACACAGCAACGCCGCGUGAGCGAAGAAGGCCUUCGGGUUGUAAAGCUCAAUAGUAUGGGAAGAUAAUGACGGUACCAUACGAAAGCCCCGGCUAACUACGUGCCAGCCGCCGCAGUAACAC